rnacentral:rRNA from 1 species
AGUGAACGCUGGCGGCGUGCUUAACACAUGCAAGUCGAACGAGAACGGAAUAUAGCUUGCUAUAUUUGUCAGCUAAGUGGCGCACGGGUGAGUAAUGUAUAGAUAACCUGCCCUUAAGAAAGGAAUAACAGUUGGAAACGACUGCUAAUGCCCUAUAUGCCUUUAAUACAUAAGUAUGCAAGGGAAACGCUUUAGUGCUUAAGGAUGGGUCUGUAUGGUAUCAGCUUGUUGGUGAGGUAAUGGCUCACCAAGGCCAUGACGCCUAACUGGUUUGAGAGGAUGAUCAGUCACACUGGAACUGAGACACGGUCAGACUCCUACGGGAGGCAGCAGUGGGGAAUAUUGCACAAUGGACGAAAGUCUGAUGCAGCAACGCCGCGUGGAGGUUGACACAUUUCGGUGCGUAAACUCCUUUUAUAUAGGAAGAUAAUGACGGUACUAUAUGAAUAAGCACCGGCUAACUCCGUGCCAGCCGCCGCCGUAA